CAUCAGAAAAUAAACUACACAAGACUGAAAACUACGGUUGCUGUUCUUACAGAAUAGUUUCCUAAUGGUUCUAAACAUACAAUACAAUACAAGUUGAUCUAUCAGUCAUUCUGAAGCAGUGGCAAGUUCUCUUCCAAGGCCUUGAAGUAGGAUGUGAAUUUGUAAGAUUUUGAUAAGUUCUCUGACGACUCUGCCAUCGUCGGCCUCAUCACAGAUGGGGAUGACCAGUCAUGCAGAGGACUCAUCCAGGACUUUGUGGACUGGUGCCAGCGGAACCACCUCCAGAUUAACGCUGGUAAGACCAAGGAGCUGGUUGUGGACUUCCGUCAGCACCCCCCCCCCCCCAUCCAGUGAACAUCCAGGGAAGGGACAUUGAGAUGGUGACAUCUUACUAGUACCUGGGUGUUAAUCUGAACCAUAAACUGGACUGGACUGAUAACACCACUGCACUUUACAAAAAAGGUCAGAGCAGACUGUAUCUGCUUAGGAGGCUGAGGUCAUUUGGGGUGCAGGGGGCACUCCUAAAGUGCUUCUAUGACUCUGUUGUGGGCUCGGCCAUCUUCUACGGCGUGGUCUGCUGGGGGAGCAGGAUCACAGUAGCUGACAGGAAGAGGCAGGACAAACUUAUAAAGAAGGCCAGCUCUGUCCUGGGAUGCCCUCUGGAAUCUGUGGAGGAGGUGGGGGAGAGGAGGAUGACAGCCAAGCUGUCCUCCAUGAUGGACAAAGACUCCCACCCCCUCCAACACACACUCACUGCACUAAGGAGCUCUAUUAGUGACAGGAUGCUACACCCCAAGUGUGUGAAGGAGAGGUACCACAGGUCUUUCCUUCCUGCAGCUGUCAGACUCCACAACAGAAACUGCUCCAAGUAAUUGUGCAGUAACUAAUUUAUAUGUAUAAUCUGUACACAUGUUUGUAUAUUUAUAUAUGUGUGUAUAUAUAUAUGUGUGUGUGUGUGUGUGUGUGGGUGUGUGGGUGUGGGUGUGUAUAGGUGUACAUAUUAAAAUCUCCACCACACCCAAUCUGUAAUAUACCCAACCUGUACAUAACUGUUUGUAUUUAGAAUUUGUAAGUUGAUGUCCUUAUAUUCCAUAUUUUUGUAUUUAUUAGUGCUCUUGCAAUACUACUCUUAUUUGUUCUCUA